UAGAGUGUCUCCCCCUUUGAAGAGGGGGAUGAGAAACAAAUGAACUGGUCCUAUCAGGAGCUUAAAGGUCAACUGGCAUCGAUAUGCUGCAGAAACAUAACAUAUUGUAAUGAAACAGGCAGGGAGCAAGCCUCGAACCCUCGACCUUCAGGCCCGAAGUCCAGCGCGCUAUCGACUGUGCCCCAAAAGCAUGCUCUAGUGGCUGAGUUGACAUCCGCGCUUAUAAACCCAGGGUCGUUACACUACUCCCUCCUUUCAAAGAGCGCGUCCUCUCCACGUCUUAUAGGAACGCGCUCACUGGCAAGCACUGUCGUGGAUGCAAGGUCCAAUCACACUUCUGACAACAUUGUAAUGAAACAGGCAGGGAGCAGGCCUCAAACCCUCGACCUUCUAGCCCCAAGUCCAGCGCGCUAUCGUGUAGAGUCGAUAUCCGCGUUUAUCCGCGUUACAAUAUUAUAGUGUCAAAUCCAGCUGCCAUGUGGACAUUUGUUGUCAAAGCUGCAUAUAGUUGGAACGCACAUUUCGCUCGGCAAUUAUGAGUGAAAAUGGGCUUCCAUAAAGUUGGUGCAAACUUCCAAUACAUUUCAACAAUAUUGCCAGGAGUGGAUUACAUUCGACACGGUCACUUCUGCUGCCUGUCAACCGUCAAACCACUGCACUGGUGUUGGCUAUGUACAAAACCUGGUUGAUUUGUAGUUCAGCAACGUUGUUGGAACCCCCCUGCCACAUCAGGAGCUGUUACAGAAGGCUGAGGCAGUGGCCAUACACCAGUCCUGCUUGAGAGUAAUGGAGGACACUUGAAUCAGCUGGGUCGGAUAUAGGAGCCGAAGUCGGGCUUCUGCAUGACCAGUAUCUGUGAUGAGAGGGACCUGGAGCUGAUCUACGCUGCCAUGCCAAUCAGGCAUUGGCAAACACUUCAGAAGGGACAAACAAACAGUGAUUACUAAUAAGACAGUACAUCAUAAGUGUUUAGUAAUAUCACCCUUUCACCCUGUCACUCAUCAACUCUUCCUUGGAUUUCUACAGAUGGGAAGAAGAGUUGCUUUUCAGAUGGAGUCCUCUGACUGAAAGGUUAAUACUGAUGUCUGAAUUGGGAGAGACCUUGCAACUCAGCAU